ACAGCAGUCGCCGCGGUAAUACAGAGGGUGCGAGCGUUAAUCGGAUUUACUGGGCGUAAAGCGUGCGUAGGCGGCUUUUUAAGUCGGAUGUGAAAUCCCUGAGCUUAACUUAGGAAUUGCAUUCGAUACUGGGAAGCUAGAGUAUGGGAGAGGAUGGUAGAAUUCCAGGUGUAGCGGUGAAAUGCGUAGAGAUCUGGAGGAAUACCGAUGGCGAAGGCAGCCAUCUGGCCUAAUACUGACGCUGAGGUACGAAAGCAUGGGGAGCAAACAGGAUUAGAUACCCCAGUAGUUCCUGUCUCUUAUAC
rnacentral:rRNA from 1 species